GUUAGUUGGCUAAAGCAGCUCCCCCUGUACAUGUUUUUCCUUGUAACAGGUGUGUGAAUAUAAUGAUGAGUCUUUCCCAGUCAGAAGAAGCCAUUGGCCGGUUCAGUGAACUGAGUGACUCUAGAAUUUAUUAAGCCAAGGCCUUUCAUAGCCCAGGUAACAUUCUGCUCCACAGUUCCAUCUCCAUUUAAAGGCAUUAGAUAUACUGGGCUAUUGCCCUGCACCUUCAAACCACAGUAAAUAAAUGCAGCUAAGUGCCACCAAGAGUGAAAGAGCUUAUAAUGAGAAGUGUGAAUAGACGUCCAUGCCAUUCAUCAUUCUACUCAGUCCAAUAUUGGGGCUCGUUUUUAUCAGCGGUAUCCGAAGUAGUGUCAUCACCUCUGGAGCAGUAGAUGUACAUGAAGCAGCAUCUUUUCAUGGCACAAUGGCAGUGGAACAUCCUGCUGGAAGAUAUUAUCUGACAUCAAAUGUUCACCUUUUAAUGAACACCUGAUUAUUUCAGCAGGCUUUCGAAGGAAUUUCAAAAAUACUUGAUAAAAUGGAUUCUUUUUUUAAAAAAGAUUCUUAUUUUUGAUUGCUCUUCUGGUUUCCAUUUUCAAACUACAAUCCUAAAGGUACAUCUUAGGGAAUAAGCCCCAUUGAACACACUUACUUCUGAGAAAAUACACGUAACAUUGUUCUCUUAAUUGCAGUUUACUCAUGCUUUUAAAUAUAUAUUUAAACAUCUUUUAAUAUGUAUUCUGCUUGCCACAUUAAGCAUUUUUCUUUAUGAAAGGCAGUGUGUAUAUAUAAAAACAAAUAAAAUGGUUUAUUGUUUUAAAAAAGAAGAUUCA
rnacentral:lncRNA from 1 species